rnacentral:SRP_RNA from 1 species
GCCAGGCAUGGUGGCGCAUACCUGUAAUCCCAGCUACUCAGGAGGCUGAGGCAGAAGAAUUGCUUGAACCCGGGAGGUGGAGGUGGCAGUGAGCCGAGAUCAUGCCACUGCACUCCAGCCUGGGUAACAGAGCGAUACUCCAUCUCAA